rnacentral:tRNA from 1 species
UUCCAUGUGGCUCAGUUGGUAGAGCAUGGUGUUUGCAACGCCAGCAUGGUGUGUGCAACACCAGGGUUGUGGGUUCGAUUCCCAGUACAAAAA